rnacentral:sRNA from 1 species
AUGUACCACGCGUACACUGCGGCUCCUCCGCGCCACCGCCCACGCCCACCUGACGACUGCUCGCUACGUGUUGUUAGCC